rnacentral:tRNA from 1 species
AGGAUAAUAGUUAAAAAUAACAAUUGAUUUGCAUUCAAUAAUUAUUAAUUAUGAAUAAUUAAUUUAUCUUA